CAUUAAUGAGUUGUGAAGGGGUUUGAUGCUGGCACCCAAAUGCAUGUGCUCGCCCUGACAAUCAUCUUCCAAACACCUGUGCACAUUUUUGAGGGAAUUUUGAGUUGAUUACCAUUUUUGGGUGAUUUUCUUGUAUUCCCUUAAAUUACUAUACGCUGAUAACAAUGCUGAACGUGUUUUGUGCCGCAAGGCCAUUAAUAAUAUAUNAACUUUUAACAACGGAUCUCUUGGCUCUCGCAUCGAUGAAGAACGCAGCGAAAUGCGAUAAGUAAUGUGAAUUGCAGAAUUCAGUGAAUCAUCGAAUCUUUGAACGCACCUUGCGCUCCCUGGUAUUCCGGGGAGCACGCCUGUUCGAGUGUCGUGAAAUUUCUCAAGCUUGGAUGGCCUUUAUGUCUGUCCUUAGCCUUGGUUGUUGGGCUUUGCCGUGUCCUUCAUUGGGACGGCUGGCCUUAAAUGCAUUAGCUGAUCCUUGUGUGGCACUGGUUCUACUCAGCGUGAUAAUAGUCUGAUCGCUGAGGACAUCUUUCGGGAUGGCCAGUCCUCAUUUGGGUUGCUUCUAAACUUGGUGUUGCAAGUUAUUUCAAUCUGUAAUGCCACUUUUCAGCUUUGACCUCGAAUCAGGUGGGACUACCCGCUGAACU
rnacentral:rRNA from 1 species